CGGGUGCCUAGCACAUGCACGUCGAACGAGAAAGGGUAGUAAUACCUGAUUAAAGUGGCGCACGGGUGAGUAACACGUGAUUACCCUACCCUUGAGUGGGGGAUAUCUGAGGGAAACCUUGUUUAAUACCGUAUAAUACCUACGGGUCAAAGGAGNAUUUCGCUUANGGAGGGGGUCGCGGCCGUUUAGUUAGUUGGGGGGGUAAUGCCCCACCAAGACAGUGAUCGGUUUCCGCCCUGAGAGGGCGCACGGACACACUGGAUCUGAAACACGGCCCAGUCUCCUACGGGAGGAAGAAGUGGGGAAUGUGGCGCAAUGGGGGAACCCCUGACGCAGCACCGCCGCGUGGAGGAUGAAGUCCUUCG
rnacentral:rRNA from 1 species